GGGCUCAGUCGCGUCGGGCCUCCUGAGGGGGCUGCGAGUGUCAGUCGGCUCUCCGCACGUGUCCGCGGCCUCGCGGAGCAGUCUACCCCUGGCUGGUUUCUGCUUCCACCUCCUGAUCUGGCAGAGCACUGUAAGCUAUUUGGCAUAUGAAGGUCUUGACCUGAGAAAACCAUCUUGGAUAACCACAGCAAGGAAAAGGAAAAAUGCAACACCUAGGAGAUUUCAGUAAACAGUAGAAUCAUGCCAACCUAAUCUGUGUUAAAAUGCUUGGAAUGUGGGAGCCGCUGAUGAUGCCUGUUGUCUGUGUGUCUGACUGAAUCCUUUCUUUUCUCAGAGCAGCAAAGCAAAGCCUGGGAACCAGGCCAAAUGCCUGCCACUUACCUUAAAUUGAUCAGCCACUUUGAGAUUAAAACCCCUGAAAGCUGCCACACCGUGGAAACAAGGCCUCCUUCACAUUAAAGGCAAAUUGCGACUUUG